ensembl:lncRNA
GUUAAAACAUAUCAGUUUAAUCUGCUUGAGAAAGACAUUAUAAAGGUCAGAUAGUAUAGUUAUAACAUUUAUCAGCAGGGAUUAACCUUCUACUCGGUGGUAACCUGGAGGCCUUGAUCUAUAUUAGGGAUGUAACGAUUCACUCAACUCAAGAUUGGAUUGGAUUGGAUUGGAUUUGAUUCACGAUUCACGAUUUUGAUUUCACGAUUUGAUUUGAUUCACAAUUGUUUUUUUUUUUUUACAAAAUUAAAUUUAAGAUAAAUUAUGAAUUAAAUGUGUCCUUUUAUUAUUUCUUGGACAAAAUGCUGCACGUUUCUUUGUGAAACUGAAAUAUAACACUAUAAUAAUAUACUAAUAUAGCACUUGCAUAUUAUUGCUCUUUUGCUGGCUUUGAUUGUUUCUAUUGUCCUCAUUUAUAAGUCGCUUUGGAUAAAAGCGUCUGCUAAAUAACAAAAUUUAAAUAUAAUGUAAAUGUAAAUAACAAAACUAAAUUGAAAUUUUAUAACAAGCCCCAAAUCAAAUAAAUAACACAAAUAAAAUAAAUCUCUUCGUAUAAUUAAAAUAAGGCUUUGUCUGUGCUAUUUCCUUUUAAAAUGAGACGCAACCACUGCAUUUUAACAUCAUCCAAACAAAAAUGCUGCAUACAUGCAACAUGAGCAGUUUUUAAUAUAAAUUUUUUAAUAUAAAUUCGAAAUUAGAAGCAAAAACAGAAUGAUUUGACUUCAGUUUUGUGAAACUAUACAUAAAAAAAUAUCUGCAUGAAACAGAAACAGCAGACGAGCUGAACGAGACGCAGAUUCACUCUCUGCCAGCAGGUGGAGCUUAAAGCGUUUCCUUGGUUACCGCUGUAAACAAAGCAGCGCUGCACUUAUGAACUUUAAUACGCAUUAUACAGAGGCAAGACGAAAAGAAAAAAAUCUAAACUUUUCUGAGACAUGUCACAUUGGUCAGGGUGUUUAUUUUGCUUCAACCUGACUAAACAAAUGGUGUGAGUUUGGGGUGGGACCUGUUUCACAAACCAGUGGCAAAACCUCUCUUUGCGUUCGUCCUCAAAGGUACAUUUCAUUCAUAAAGUAAAAAGGAUUUGACUUUUGACUAUUGGGGUUACCCUUUCAUAAAAACAAAAAAAGUCUAUGGUAUUUCCUUUUUAUGUUUUAGUUACCUAAACAUGUGUGCUGUGUUUGUGUGUCUUAGGUUUUGAACAUUUCCUUUCUUCCAUAACAUUUUCAGUUUAUUCCAGCUCUAAAUACCAUACCCCUUGCCAGAGAAGAGCCCAGGAGAGAAAGCAUGCGUAGGUUGUUUUAAAAAAAAACUUGGUGAACUCCCCUGCUGUCUACACAGGCAGCUGGCUUUUAAGUCAGCAUCUUAGCUGACAUAAGUGAUCGAUCUGGAACAUUUCACAUAGACAUCAAUUCUCAGUGCAACAUAAAUAUUGAUUCUCACACAGAAUGCAC